rnacentral:sRNA from 1 species
GGAGGUGAGGGCAAUCUGGUUGUGUAUCUGUCACCCUAUUCUACUGAUCUGGUUAGGUGGUUGUCCCCUUCCUCCCUUGCUGUUCCAUCUGCAUCCCUUCGAAAGCUGUGCAUUCAGUGGAAGACAAUGAACAACUCAGAUAGAGGAGGAACCAUGAUCCUUUCAACGAAUUCCCGGUGACCUAAAGACCUCCCACUAGGCCCCACCUCUUAAAAAUCCCACCAUUUCCAAUAGUACCACUCUGGGGACUAGGCCUUU